GGCUCAGCCCGUGGACGGUGUGAGGCCGGUAACGGCCCCCGUCGCGCCGGGGCCCGGUCUCCUCGGAGUCGGGCUCCAUUCCAAAACAAC